rnacentral:rRNA from 1 species
UGGGGAAUUUUGGGCAAUGGGCGAAAGCCUGACCCAGCCAUGCCGCGUGAGUGAUGAAGGCCCUAGGGUUGUAAAACUCUUUCGCUCGGGAAGAUAAUGACGGUACCGAGUAAAGAAGCCCCGGCUAAUUUCGUGCCUCCAGCCGCGGUAAUACGAAAGGGGCUAGCGUUGUUCGGAAUUACUGGGCGUAAAGCGCGCGUAGGCGGCAUGCCAAGUUGGGGGUGAAAUCCCGGAGCUCAACUCCGGAACUGCCUCCAAAACUGGCAAGCUAGAGGAUGUGAGAGGAUAGUGGAAUUCCGAGUGUAGAGGUGAAAUUCGUAGAUAUUCGGAAGAACACCAGUGGUGAAGGCGACUGUCUGGCACAUUUCUGACGCUGAGGUGCGAAAGCGUGGGGAGCAAACAGGAUUAGAUACCCCGGUAGUCC